rnacentral:RNase_P_RNA from 1 species
GGGUAAUACCCAGGAGGGGUGACCCUACGGAAAGUGCCACAGAAACAUACCGCCCCGACUUGGUCGGAGCAAGGGUGAAAUGGUGAGGUAAGAGCUCACCAGCGGCUGGGUGACCAGUCGGCUGGGUAAACCCCAUCCGGAGCAAGACCAAACAGAGGGACGUAAGGACGUCCGGCCUGUCCCUGGGUAGGUCGCUCGACCCUGGUGGUAACAUCAGGGCUAGAUAGAUGGUCACCGCUCCGAACUUUCGGAGUACAGAACUCGGCUUACAGGUUUACUUGACCU